rnacentral:rRNA from 1 species
CUACCCGGGUAUCUAAUCCCGUUCGCUCCCCUGGCUUUCGCGCCUCAGCGUCAGAAGAGGUCCAGCACGUCGCUUUCGCCACCGGCGUUCCUUCCGAUAUCAACGCAUUUCACCGCUCCACCGGAAGUUCCACAUGCCCCUAUCUCCCUCUAGCCGACCAGUAUCAAGAGCACUUUUCCGGUUGAGCCGAAAGAUUUCACUCCUGACUUGGUUGGCCGCCUACGCGCCCUUUAAGCCCAGUGAUUCCGAACAACGUUCGCACGGUUCGUCUUACCGCGGCUGCUGGCAC